rnacentral:rRNA from 1 species
CUCAAAGAUUAAGCCAUGCAUGUAUCAGUACACCGCCUUGACAAGGUGAAACCGCGAACGGCUCAUUAUAACAGCUACAAUUUACUAGACCUUGAGCAGUUACCCGGAUAACUGUGGUAAUUCUAGAGCUAAUACGUGCACCGAAGUUGUCCCUCACGGGGCAAUGCAUUUAUUUGAGCAAAACCAGGCGGCUUCGGCCGUUGCUGUUGAAUCAGAAUAACUAAGCUGAUCGUAUGGGCUUGUCCCGACGACGUGUCUUUCAAGUGUCUGCCUUAUCAACUUUCGAUGGUAGUGUACGUGACUACCAUGGUGUUGACGGGUAACGGAGGAUAAGGGUUCGACUCCGGAGAAGGGGCCUGAGAAAUGGCCACUACGUCUAAGGAUGGCAGCAGGCGCGCAAAUUACCCACUCUCGGUUCGAGGAGGUAGUGACGAAAAAUAACAAGGCCGUUCUCUUUGAGGCCGGCCAUUGGAAUGGGUACAAUCUAAACCCUUUAACGAGUAUCAAUGAGAGGGCAAGUCUGGUGCCAGCAGCCGCGGUAAUUCCAGCUCUCAAAAUGCAUAGAAUCAUUGCUGCGGUUAAAAAGCUCGUAGUUGGAUCUGUGCUGGCGACGUGGUCUGCCCUCGCGGGUGGUACUGCGCUCGUCGGCUUUGGGCCGGUCUCCGGCCGGUGGCCUUCACUGGUCGUCGUUCGUGGCUGGCUGGUUUACUUUGAGCAAAUCAGAGUGCUCAGCACAGGCGUCUCGCCGGAAUGUUCGUGCAUGGAAUAAUGGAAAAGGAUUUCGGUCCUCUUUUAUUGGUUUUGUGGACUGAGAUAAUGGUUAACAGAGACGGACGGGGGCAUUCGUAUUGCUGCGUGAGAGGUGAAAUUCUUGGACCGCAGCAGGACGGACUACAGCGAAAGCAUUUGCCAAGCACCGUCUUCAUUAAUCAAGAACGAAAGUCAGAGGUUCGAAGGCGAUCAGAUACCGCCCUAGUUCUGGCCGUAAACGAUGCCAGCUAGCGAUCCGCCGAUGGCCUCUCGGCCUUGGUGGGGAGCUUCCCGGAAACGAAAGUCUUCCGGUUCCGGGGGAAGUAUGGUUGCAAAGCUGUAACUUAAAGGAAUUGACGGAAGGGCACCACCAGGAGUGGAGCCUGCGGCUUAAUUUGACUCAACACGGGAAAACUCACCCGGCCCGGACACCGUAAGGAUUGACAGAUUGAUAGCUUUUUCAUGAUUCGGUGGUUGGUGGUGCAUGGCCGUUCUUAGUUCGUGGAUCGAUUUGUCUGGUUUAUUCCGAUAACGAGCGAGACUCUAGCCUACUAACUAGUGCGCGCAUUGCCGCUGUGCGUGUCACUUCUUAGAGGGAUUGGCUGCGUUUAGCAGCACGAAAUUGAGCAAUAACAGGUCUGUGAUGCCCUUAGAUGUCCGGGGCUGCACGCGCGCUACACUGGCAAAGGCAGCGUGCUUGUCCGUCUCCGAAAGGAGUCGGUAAACCCUUGAAAAUUUGCCGUGAUUGGGAUCGGAAAUUGCAAUUAUUUUCCGUGAACGAGGAAUUCCAAGUAAGUGCGAGUCAUCAGCUCGCGUUGAUUACGUCCCUGCCCUUUGUACACACCGCCCGUCGCUGCCUAGAACUGAGCCAUUUCGAGAAUAUUCGGGAUCGCUGGUCUUCGCCUCUCGGGGUGUUGGCCGGCACGAGAACGAACGUAAUCGCAGUGGCUUGAACCGGGC